rnacentral:rRNA from 1 species
CAUGCAAGUCGAACGAUGACGACCGAGCUUGCUCGGUCUGAUUAGUGGCGAACGGGUGAGUAACACGUGAGUAACCUGCCCCCCACUUCGGGAUAACUUCGAGAAAUCGUGGCUAAUACCGGAUAUGAACUUCCGCCGCAUGGUGGUUGUUGGAAAGUUUUUCGGUGGGGGGUGGACUCGCGGCCUAUCAGUUUGUUGGUGAGGUAAUGGCUCACCAAGACGAUGACGGGUAGCCGGCCUGAGAGGGCGACCGGCCACACUGGGACUGAGACACGGCCCAGACUCCUACGGGAGGCAGCAGUGGGGAAUAUUGCACAAUGGGCGAAAGCCUGAUGCAGCGACGCCGCGUGAGGGAUGACGGCCUUCGGGUUGUAAACCUCUUUCGGUAGGGAAGAAGCGAGAGUGACGGUACCUGCAGAAGAAGCGCCGGCUAACUACGUGCCAGCAGCCGCGGUAAUACGUAGGGCGCAAGCGUUGUCCGGAAUUAUUGGGCGUAAAGAGCUUGUAGGUGGCUUGUCGCGUCUGCCGUGAAAACCCGAGGCUCAACCUCGGGCGUGCGGUGGGUACGGGCAGGCUAGAGUGUGGUAGGGGAGACUGGAACUCCUGGUGUAGCGGUGAAAUGCGCAGAUGUCAGGAAGAACACCGAUGGCGAAGG